CUUCUCUCUCUAGCCACUGUCCUCUCUUUUUCUCUCUCUCCAGUCAUCGUUCUCUCUUCUUCUCUCUCUUCGACCACCGUCAUUGUCUCUUUCGAAUCUCUCCACCCCCCACCCCGCGACCACCAUCUUCUCUUCUUCUUUCUCUCCGGCCCCUGUCAUCAUCUCCUCCAAACCCCCCACCUGUGGCCACUGUCCUCUCUUCUUCUUUCCCUCC
rnacentral:lncRNA from 1 species